rnacentral:rRNA from 14 species
GACUCCUACGGGAGGCAGCAGUAGGGAAUAUUGGUCAAUGGAGGAGACUCUGAACCAGCCAUGCCGCGUGCAGGAAGACGGCCUUCUGGGUUGUAAACUGCUUUUGACAGGGAAGAAAACGGCUAUGCGUAGCUAACUGACGGUACCUGUAGAAUAAGCACCGGCUAACUCCGUGCCAGCAGCCGCGGUAAUACGGAGG